CGCAAUGGGCGAAAGCCUGACGGAGCGACGCCGCGUGAUGGACGAAGUGGUUCGCCACGUAAACAUCUUUUAUGAGGGACGAAAUUAUUGACGGUACCUCAUGAAUAAGGGGCUCCUAACUCUGUGCCAGCAGGAGCGGUAAUACAGAGGCCCCAAGCAUUAUCCGGAAUCACUGGGCGUAAAGGGUGUCAAGGCGGUCAUGUUAAUCGUUCGUAAAAUCCGUGGGCUCAACCUACGGUCCGCGAGCGAAACGGCAUGACUAGAGGUAGGGAGAGGUGCGUGGAACUCACGGUGUAGGGGUGAAAUCCGUUGAUAUCGUGGGGAACACCAAAGGCGAAGGCAGCGCACUGGCCCUCACCUGACGCUCACACACGAAAGCCA
rnacentral:rRNA from 1 species